rnacentral:RNase_P_RNA from 1 species
CGAGUUGGCAGUGCGGUCGCGUGACGGGAAACCGUCUCGAGGAAAGUCCGGACUCCGCAGGGCAGGGUGGUUGCUAACGGCAACCCGGGGUGACCCGCGGGACAGUGCCACAGAAAACAGACCGCCCCCGUCUCCGGACGGGGGUAAGGGUGAAACGGUGGUGUAAGAGACCACCAGCGCCCCGGGUGACCGGGGCGGCUAGGUAAACCCCACCCGGAGCAAGGCCAAGAGGGAGCGCGAGCUCCUGCGCAGGCGUUCGAGGACGGCCCGUCCGAGUCUGCGGGUAGGCCGCUAGAGCCUGCCGGCGACGGCAGGCCGAGAUGGAUGACCGCUCAUCACGGUUCGCCGUGAGGACAGGAUCCGGCUUACAUGCCAACUCGUCCG